ensembl:lncRNA
AUUUUGACAUUUUCCUUUAUAUUUCUUCUAAUGUGCGUUUUGUUACUGCUGUUUGCCUUCCUGUAUAGCGGCUUUUGCCUGAGCACAGUUUUUAUCGGUAAAGGUUGAAGCGGAAGAGGGCUAGAUUGUGUUUCUAGAGGACCUUUUAUAUACCAUAUUGGGAACUUAUUGGCAACAUACGUUUUUAUGUUUUGUUGUUUUACAACCUCCAACCUUUGUUGGAGGUUGCCUGUUAUCUUUUGAGAAUUUCGUUUUUUAUUUUUGUGUUCAUAUUUUUUACAAUUGAACUAGUGUACUGUAGUCUUUUGAGAAGUUAUUUUUUAAGAAAAUUCUACUAAUAAUUCCUCAUUAACACCUGUAACUAGAGUUGCCAAGUCAUGUAGAUUAAAGUUUUAAAUGGAGAAAAAAAAGAAACUGAAAAGGAGAGAGGAGGUAUAAAGUAGUGUAGAAGAGAGAGAACUACAUAUUUUUGCAUAGUGAUUGUGAAUUACUGACGGGGGAAGGGGUGGGGCAGUUAACUGCUGGACCAGAGGGUUAAUUGUUAAUUGGUUAAUUGGCUAACCAAUUAAUAUAUAUUGGUUGGUUAAAUGUUCUUCUGCAUCUUUGUUAUUGUGAUGUGUGUAACUAUGGGAACCAAGCGACCUAGACGGAGGGUGACUGAUUGGUCCAAACAUGAGAAACACUGUCAGGUUCACUUUGCAAACAAGACACGCUGUGUCUGAAUGUCUGUUAAAAGUAUCUAUCCCACGGGACACAGUAUUAUCCCUGUCAUUUCCGUUGCCCUUUGGGGAUACGUCUUGCUCGUCCAACACAUUUCCAUUAGAAACAAACAUUGAGUUUUACCUUUACUUGACCUGGUCCUUGAUGGACCAGCUUAGCCUUUUUUGAGUAUAAGCUAUUGUUGGUUGAAUCUGAUCAUUGUGACUGUCCCAACUGCCAUCUGGUGGCCAGGUUGGUGUAUUGCUACACAUAUAGCGGGUGGCAUGUGCGGUAUCUGCGGAUGACCAACAGGUGGCAGUAUACCUCAGUAGCAGUGAUGCCAAACAAUUAAAGCUAUUAUAUAAGUUAUAAUCAAGUCUCGAUCACUGUAUUCAACCAAGCACCUUAGGGCCAGAACAUAAGAGAGUUCUGCUCCACAUUUUUACAAUAUAUGACAAAAAAAAUUACAUGCACACACCGUGGGAUGAGAAUGCCAAAUAUGAGUCGGUGGAUUUAUAACUGAUUUACAAAAAAAACGAAUCUUGAAAAAUAUCCUUAGCUGGGCAGUGUUUCAAGUGUGUUGGCUUCUCAAAACAUCGCCCUCCUCUCCGUCUGCCGGUAGGGCAGCUCUUGCUUCCGCCCAUCAUUUGGUCGCCCACGCCACAGGGAACAGUGACACGGAGGGGGUUGACGUGAUGAUUUAAUCAAAAUGAAUAACGUUCAAAGAAGCACCUUGUCGGUGAGUUCCCGCUGGCCUGGAAGAGAGGCCGCGGGUCCGAGCCUCUGCACCUUUCUGAGCAUGCUCCCCAAACGUCACUUCCUGUGUGUGGUAGGCGUGCCAGGUGAUGUGUGAGGGGUGGUGUUGUUGGUGGUUGGGAGGGGUGUAAAGUUCAGUCUGAAUCAAAUUUGUGGGAUUUUUUAUAAAACUCAUUUUUAUGAUCUUUUUGUAUGUCAUUUUUAUUUCUCCCUCUUGCGUCGGUGUUUGAAAGAAAGUACUGAAUAAUGUUGGGGGGGACAGACCUUCACCUCCUCUCUCCCUUCCUGGCAGUUACUGUGUGAGGGGGAGGGGGGUAGGGGUCGGUGCUAUGUAGGAGCUGGCCGUUGGACCGGCCCCCCGGGACAGGUUUUUAAAGGCAAUUAGUUUGGAUUAUAAUGGGGAUCUUAAACGAUUUGGAAAUGGCCAAAGAAAUGACCGGAAACUUUUACUUCUACUACCACCACCACCCGUUGAUUUGGUAUUAGACGUUAUACCAUAUAUCGUCGCCUGCCACCGUUCUACUGCAUGUACCUUGUCAGUUAUUUUUUCUUGUUUUUUUAAACCUCCACCAAAUGUAUUCUAACAUGGAUACUGAGAGGGAAAAGAGGGCGGGGGGGGGGUAUUCACUUGGAAUGUUAUUUGUCUUGGAAAGCGAUCAAAACACUGGUGGGAGGAUGUUUGUUUCGUUAUUGUAAAGGAGGUUAAAUUCGCUGAUGCAACCAAAUCGACAAUUCCUCAACUGGCUGGAUGCCAAGUGGUGCAAAGGCAGAUUUUUUUGUUUCUUUAUUUUCUUGAUCUCUUGUCAGCCACUUCCCCCCCCAUGCCCGGAAACCUUCAUGGCUGUAUUUUGUCUUGUUUCUUUUUAUAUAUUUUUUUUAUAUCUGCUAUUCUGUGGUCUAACAUUUCCCUGCUCUUUUAUAGUCCCACACACCAGAGACAAACGACACACACAGACCUCUGAAAUAUAAAUAUAUAUAAAUGCAUAUAUGAAUAUAUUUGUACACACACACACACAUGCGCUGUCGUCCCUCCAUAUGGACAAAGCAUCCGGGUGUGUGUGUGUGUUUUUCCGCUGAUGCAGUUUUAAAAGAACUUAAAAAUAUAAAAACAAAGUACCAGUUACCUCGGGAGCUCUCAGCCAUAGCAUUACAUUACUGACCACACAGGCAGGCGCUAGGCUACCAGCUAGCUUCUACGCGGCUAUGGGAAAAGGAAGCUAGACUAGCUGCUAAAGGCUAGGGGUCGGGAGGGGGGGAGGGGGGGGUGGAAGGGCUUCUAGGGCCGGUGUGUGGCUGACUUUGCGCAGAUGCAUAUCGGUUCGCUUUCAGGAACGAUACCUGGGGAGGCGCUUUGCAUCUCCAACCAAACACACGGAAACUAUAUCAGUUGCAGGGUAUUUGACGGCAGUCUGUCAGGACACUCGUUACCUCAGAUAAUAAACGGUCCAGGGGUUUUACAUAUCACCUAGGCAACCAUGAAUGACUUUUACUUUCCUUGUCUCUGGUGUGGUAGGGCCAACUCCUCGGCAGAAAUCCAUUUGGUUUGUCCCCCCCCCCCUCCCCCUCCUACUACUACCGUACUACUACUCCUUGUUUUCCACUAUAAAUAUAUAAAUAUCUAAACUGUACAUGAAUACAUAGAAAGCACUAUCGAGGUUUGAUUGUUAGAUGUGCACUCGCAGCAUGAGCUUUUAUUCUCACCAUCUAUUAUUCCUUCAUAACUCGGAAAAAGAAAGAAUUACAUCUUUUUGGACAAAAAAAGUAUAUAAUAUCCAGAAUGCAGUAGCCUCAUACUGAUGUCAAAGAAUAUUGCCCACCCCUCUGUCCCUCCCCCCCGAUCCACCCUGACCCCUCCCCGUGCCCCGGCCCACCUGCCCCACCCCUUCCAAUGUACAUGCCAGUGCCCCCUCCCCGUUCCAUGUGUUCCAAGUGCCAAUAACUAUGUGAAUCCUUAACUGUGACCCAGUAAUAAAGAUAAUUGCAC